rnacentral:rRNA from 1 species
GAUGAACGCUGGCGGCGUGCCUAAUACAUGCAAGUCGAACGGAGAUUGUAGCAAUACGGUCUUAGUGGCGAACGGGUGAGUAAUGCGUUGGUAACCUGCCCCGAAGCGUGGGAUAACGGUCCGAAAGGACCACUAAUACCACAUGUGAUCCCGAGGAAUAGAUACUUGGGAUGAAAGGAGCAAUUCGCUUCGGGAGGGACCUGCGUCCCAUCAGCUAGUUGGUAGGUAACGGCCUACCAAGGCGAUGACGGUAGGGACCUGAGAGGGUGGCCCCCCAAAUGGAACUGAAACACGGUCCAUACACCUACGGGUGGCAGCAGUAGGGAAUAUUGGUUAAUGUGCGAAAGCGCGAACCAGCAACGCCGCGUGUGCGAUGAAGGCCUUCGGGUCGUAAAGCACUUUUUGCAGGGAAGAGGAAGGACGGUACCUGCAGAAUAAGUCUCGGCUAACUACGUG